AUAGAAGACACAGAUGGUUAUUAAGUUUUCAUUGUCAAAAAAAAACAUGGAAAUGACAUACAAUGUUUUUUAAAAGAUGCUAUCGUAACCUUAUCAAGGCACCAAAAUUACUGCUACAAGGACUUUUUUCAACAUUGCUUAAGAGCCUCUAUUUCAUGCAAGAUAAUUUUUGAAAGCAAUCAUGCUUCUAGUAAUUUCAUAACACAUCAUCAAAUGUACCCAAAUACUACAGAUUGAUCCUUCGGACGCGGAACGUAUACCACUUGUCCUAGAUUAUCCCAAAGAAAAGAUCAUAAACCCAUAAGCAUGAAAGAAGUCAUAAAAAACAGGUUUGUCGCUAUUAAUUAUGCGCAACUUUUUCUUCGGUUUCUGAAAUAGUAGCUGCUGCUCUGGCCUCUCUGGGACUUAUCAGCCUGCCAACAGCUUGAUAUUUUUGGUCAAAAAAUGCUUUCCAAUCGUUUAGAGCCUGCCUCUCCUCAUCGUUUAAAUCACUGCAAUCAUCCAAUUCUUCUGCAUCUGAAUCAGGAAUAAAUUCAUCGUCAAAACUAUUUUUUGCUAAACCACGACUGGCAUCAUGACCGGCAAAAGCACUAUAAGGGCCUUGUGGACCAUAAAAUUUUGAUCCCAUUGUAACGUUGUACACAGUUCCCUUGAUAGCAAGAAAAACCAAUGAAUUUUUGGAGCCAUUAUAUUCCUUCAGUUCUGCUGGAGUAUAAUCUCUCCAUUCGGGCUGUUUUGGCUCUUCGCUUGCAAUAAAAGAUUUCUCAUUCUUCCUUCUCCAGCGAGUGAUUAGCAAAUAAAGAAAUAAGGUUACUAUAAAAACAACUUGUGUAGAUGCCAUGGUGUUGGUUUAUGGAAGAAUCAACUGGUCGCAUGAUUCUCUCAAAACCUUCGCACUACCUGCUUAGAAGAAUACGUACGAUAGUUUUGUUACCAUGGUACAUUACUAUAUACGGACGGUUAUAGAGAAUAUGUUUAUUGCAGUCUCGUUUUCUGCACACAUAAACUGUUUAAAAGGCACUGUAAUAAAGCAUAAGUUAAAAAUUUUGGUUAGUUAUGUAAUU